AGCCUCAGCUCCCGGACGCCCGGCGUGGCCGCUUUCUCGCGUCUUGCUGACCCGGGCCGGGGGCGUGUGCUCCUCCUGCAGCGGACGGAAGAUGCUGGGCCACGCAAGUUUCCCUGGGCUUGGUUAACCACCCCAAAGCCCAUUUCCAGAAGGAAAGGGUGUUGAGGAGGAGGGAUAGAAAGUCGAGAAGAGGGCCGGGUGAGUGGCUCACGCCUGUCAUCCCAGCACUUUGGGAGGCCGAGACAGGCGGAUCACCUGAGGUCAGGACUUAGAGACCAGCCUGGCCUACAUGGUGAAACCCCGUCUCUACUAAAAAUACAAAAAUUAGCCGGGUGUGGUGCCGUGCGCCUGUAGUCCCAGCAACUCGGGAGGCUGAGGUAGGAGAAUCGCUUGAACCCGGGAGUCGGAGGUUGCAGUGCUGAGAUGGCACCUGGCCUGGGCGGCAAGAGCGAAACUCCAUCUCAAAAAAAAAAAGAAGAGGAAAUGAGGCAUAGGGGCAGGCGAGCCGGGAAAAUAUUGCUACUAAGGAUCCUAAGCAGUGAACAUGCUGUUAAUACUUAGAUGAGAUCUUGCUCUGUCACCCAGACUGGAGUGCAGUGGCACGAUCAUAGCUCACUGCACCCUCAAACUCCUGGACUCAA
rnacentral:lncRNA from 10 species